GCACAAGAGGUGAAGCUCUGUUUUGUUAUGGGUAACAGUCAGUAGAUGGCGCUGCGGAGCCACGGCCGCCAUUAGGGACUGAAAACACAACUGUGAAGAUGUGCAAAGUGGUCGAAACGCAAGCAGUGUUCUGCAAUAAAUUGCAAAAAUUAUCAGUUCACCAGAAGCGAUUUGGCAUUUCAUCGGUUUCCAAAGGAUGCACAAAGGUGUGCCAGGUGGGUCCAGAAUCUAAGGAAUGCAUCCCUUCAUGGCAUACCUUUGGAUCAGCUGCAUCGGACCUACAGGGUGUGCAGUGCCCAUUUCCACAGCAGCCAGUUCAAAAGACCAUCUGAUGUCCAUGGUGGGCUGAACUGGGAUGCUGUGCCCACAAGAAUACAGGCCCCUAACCCACCUCCCCCACUAGAUGUCGAGAGGAAGCGUAAACCUCCGAAGACACGCCAGGAGUUGCCACGUAAAAAAUGCAAGCAGAGUCAAGUUCCUCCUCCCUCCAAAGACCAGCAUACCGGGGAAGCUGUAGCGGGGCCUUCAUCACGGGCGCACUACACUGAGGAAGCUGUAGCGGGGCCUUCAUCAAUCAGUUAUUGUUCAUUUUUAGAAAUCUAUACAAAACUUGAACUGGCUAGUAGCUGACUAAUGCUUCCAUUCUAUGUCAGUGCCUCUUCUCUCACAAAAAGAAAAAAAUACAACAAAACUUAAAUGCUCACACAAUAGAUGGUGGUGUCUGAUUAAUUACUGAGAUCUUAUGGCUCCAUUUUAGUACUGUUUAUAGUUCAUGUGUGCACUUGCUAGAUUGCACAUCUUUUUUGUACCUUUCCGCCUGUAAUAGGACAUUCACAGAUUGUUUUUGUUCUUGCCAUUGAAACGUUCACUGUGUGCACUUUCAAUGAAGAUGUUGAAAAAACUUGUUAAUAUUUUUGUGAUAUUCUAUGUAAAAGAUUAACUCGUAAGAAAUGUUCAUUUAUAAUUUUAUUUAUUUAUUUUUCCAAAUCAUAUAUGGUGAUGUUCAAUCAUUUCAAAAUCAACAUUUGAAUAAAUGUUAUUACUGUG